rnacentral:lncRNA from 1 species
GUUGUUGGGUACAUGGGAGAUGAUAACUUGGCGAAAGCUCUUGAAGGAGCUGACCUUGUUAUCAUCCCUGCUGGUGUUCCCAGGAAGCCUGGUAUGACCCGUGAUGAUCUUUUCAACAUCAAUGCUGGCAUUGUCAAGAACCUUUGCUCUGCCAUCGCCAAGUACUGCCCUCAUGUAAGCCUCUUUGCAAUAAAUGUUUGUUGAUUUUUAGGUGUAAAAGAUGUCUCCUUUUGUGGUUUUCUUGACCAGUGGGAUUUAUUAUUUUGUUUUGAAACAGGCACUUGUUAAUAUGAUCAGCAACCCAGUGAACUCUACUGUUCCAAUUGCAGCAGAGAUCUUCAGGAAGGCUGGUAUGUACGAUGAGAAGAAGCUGUUUGGUGUUACCACUCUUGACGUUGUUAGGGCCAAGACUUUCUAUGCUGGAAAAGCUAAUGUCCCUGUUGCAGGUUUGUCUUCUUUUUUUUCCCCCUCUUGUUGAGCUUUUUGUGCAUGAGGCUUGAUCUUGCUGGUUGUAGAGCUUUUUGUGCAUGAUCAUGGUCUUGCAUUUUUACGUAUUCUUCACUGUAUUUUUUUUACUGCUGCUGUACUUAGGUUUGUUUGCUAUGUGUCCACUUGGGGCUAUUUGCUUCAGUGAUAUUUUCUACUUGAUGUAAUGCCUUAGUAAUCUUUUGGUUAAUUGUUGGGUAAACCUAAAACUAUAAUUAUUUUAGGCGUUAGUAUUAUUUUCAAUCAUAAAUCUGUUACUCUGUCUGCAACCAUCAUUAUCAUCAUUUGCUUCUUUCUGCAACAAAGUGUUGUUUCUCAUAUUUGCUCUAUACGCUGAUUGUAAAGUCUUCUUUUCUGCUUGAAGUAUUAAUCUUCCGUUUGAAGUGACUUGUUUGUUAAUGCUAAUGACCAUAUUGAGUUGUGAAUGAAUGAUUCAGGUUUGUGACAGGGAGAAGAUGCAUUUUGUGCUUAGUGGUGAUUACGUGAUUGCAGCUUCUUUAAAAAUCUCUGGAUUGAUGAAUGUAUUGCUGCUUUGACAUCUGUCUGUCUCUCUCUGCACUUGAACUGAAUGUGCCUUGGCCUCUGAAUGCCUAGUUACUCUAUGAAUGAUUAGACUAGCCUGUAUUUUUCUCUCUUUUCAUAGACAUAGUUGGCAGAUGAAUUGUUUUGUUUGUCAGAUUAGUGAGUUUUCAAUAACAUUUACUGUAUUCUUCUCUACUCUAUUUCCUGGUUAUUGUUCCUUUUCAAUCUUCUGAAUGUAGACACAACGCUCUACUUGUUUGUGAUCUUUGAGGAUAUCUCUUUGGGGGUUCACAUCCACCCACAGAAUCCUUUACUUGUCUGAUUUUUUGAGGAUAUCUCUUUGGGGGUUUACAUCUACCUACAGAAUCGUUUACUUGACAUAAAUAAAGUGGCACUAGAUGGUUUUCUCUGUGAAUCAUUUCUCACUGGUUGAUUCAUAGGUUAAAAAGUGCUGAACAUGUCUUUUGCUUUAGAAGCUUGAUAUGUUUGUAUUUUGCCUUUCCUCUUUCCCAUGAAUAGUUGUGAAAAAGCUCUUUUGUCUAUUGAUGUCAAAACCAGACAUGAUAGAACUUGUUGAAGAAUGUUUCUUGUUAUUAUUAUAUGUUGUUAUUGUUUGACAAGAAAUCUGUUUCAGAUUAUAACAAAUCUAUAAUAUGAUUCUGUGUGAUAUGUAUACCAAAUGAAGAGAUUUACUUUCAAUGGUCGUCUGAGGUUUUAUGUCAGAAACUUGUCCUUUAACGGCUUUGUUUGGGUGGAAUAUUCUCUGAAGACAAAUACUUGGAUCCUUCAUGUCCCCAAACAGACUAGUCUGUGUCAUUGUUAGGAAUCAUGUGUCCACACUAACUUGUGACCACGUCUUCUUGAUUUACUCGGCUUUUGUUGUUUUUUUCCUUUUUAUUUGGCGAUUUUCUGGUGCGACCGAGUUGUGGCAAAGAGAUAUCAUUUCGUUGUAACAUGUAAUUGAAUAUUGUGUUGUUACACUUUGUACUUUGCUAGUGUUUAAUCACCUGGUUUGGGGUUGAUUUAAUUUUUUGAUUAUGCUUGAUUGUUUUUAGGAAUUUUGGAAAUAUAGUUUUUUUUUUUUGUAAAAGGCUCUACCAAUAUCAUUAAAACAAUAAAAUUUCAUCAAUCUUUCAACUGAAAGGAUUUUCCAAAACAAUCCAAAUCAUUUAGGGGUAUUUAGAGGGUGUGUUUCAAAGGUGAUUUGAUUUUUAAUAAACUUUUACAUGAUUUCAAUUAGUUGUAGAGAUUUAGGUGAUUUAUGUUUUAAUCUCCACCUAAACAUUUUAAAAUCAUUUGAAAACUUUGAAAUUUCACAACUUAAAAGUAUUUUCAAUUAACAGUGGAUUUUAAAGUACUCUACCGAAUGUUAAGUUUAAUAAUAGUGGAUUUUAAAUGAGUUUUUAAAAUUCAUGUUUGAAUAAUACAAAUCAGCCAUUUUAAUACAAAUUUCUAAAACUCUCAGCUAACACAAGAUUUUAUUUUCAAUAAAUAAAACAGAUUGUAUACUCUGAAACUUGAAUAGAGAUUAUUACUUGAAUAGUGUAUAGCAUCUUUACUUCUGAUUAAUCCGAUAGAAUCAUGUUUCCACAAAGUUCAAAAUAAAAUAUCCAGCUUUUAUUCCUCUAAAACUAAAUUAAACUUAAAAAAGCUUCAAUAUUACAAACAAGUAUCCCAGUUUUAAAUUUUACGCAAAAUUAACCCAAAAUAAUUCAAAACAUCUAAAAACCCCAAAAGACCUGGAAGCAUUAAAAGCAGAGUGUCAUUACAUUACAUAUGUGAUCAUCAUCGAGUGUCUCGCCAGAGUUUCACCACAUAAACUCUAAAAGACAUAUCCUCUAGAUCUUCUUUCUCUCAUCUCAAAAUGUUCAGAUCCAUGCUUGUCCGAUCCUCCUCGUCGGCGAAGCAGUCGCUUAUCCGCCGUAACUUGUCUUCCGGAUCGGUCCCGGAGCGUAAAGUCGCCAUCUUGGGAGCCGCCGGUGGAAUCGGUCAGCCUCUGGCUCUCCUCAUGAAACUCAACCCCCUCGUCUCUAGCCUCUCACUCUACGAUAUCGCAAACACACCUGGAGUUGCCGCUGAUGUUGGUCACAUCAACACCAGAUCUGAGGUAUAUAUAUAUUCUACCAUUCUCUGAUAUUCAUCGUAGCUUAUUAGAUUCAAUAAAGUCGUUUACUUUGGAUGUCUUUGAAAUGAAUUCUUGAUUAAUUUUGUAUGGUUUAUAUAGGUUGUUGGGUACAUGGGAGAUGAUAACUUGGCGAAAGCUCUUGAAGGAGCUGACCUUGUUAUCAUCCCUGCUGGUGUUCCCAGGAAGCCUGGUAUGACCCGUGAUGAUCUUUUCAACAUCAAUGCUGGCAUUGUCAAGAACCUUUGCUCUGCCAUCGCCAAGUACUGCCCUCAUGUAAGCCUCUUUGCAAUAAAUGUUUGUUGAUUUUUAGGUGUAAAAGAUGUCUCCUUUUGUGGUUUUCUUGACCAGUGGGA